AGUGAACGCUGGCGGUAGGCCUAACACAUGCAAGUCGAACGGCAGCACAGUAAGAGCUUGCUCUUACGGGUGGCGAGUGGCGGACGGGUGAGGAAUACAUCGGAAUCUACUUUUUCGUGGGGGAUAACGUAGGGAAACUUACGCUAAUACCGCAUACGACCUACGGGUGAAAGCAGGGGAUCUUCGGACCUUGCGCGAUUGAAUGAGCCGAUGUCGGAUUAGCUAGUUGGCGGGGUAAAGGCCCACCAAGGCGACGAUCCGUAGCUGGUCUGAGAGGAUGAUCAGCCACACUGGAACUGAGACACGGUCCAGACUCCUACGGGAGGCAGCAGUGGGGAAUAUUGGACAAUGGGCGCAAGCCUGAUCCAGCCAUACCGCGUGGGUGAAGAAGGCCUGCGGGUUGUAAAGCCCUUUUGUUGGGAAAGAAAAGCAGCAGGUUAAUACCCCGCUGUUCUGACGGUACCCAAAGAAUAAGCACCGGCGAACUUCGG
rnacentral:rRNA from 1 species